rnacentral:lncRNA from 1 species
CAGCAAACUUCAAGAAAAUAUGGAGCAAUGAUCCAAAAAAGGAUCAGAAAAUUAAACAUUGAAAUAAUGAAAUCAAACAAAAAUAUUGCAGAUAAUUAAACUGAGUAAAAUAAAAUGCUACAGAAAGUGGCAAUAGCAGAAUUGAUCAAGUAGAAGAAAUAAUCUGUGAAUUUGAAGGCAGGUUGUUGCAUGUAGAGGAGAAAAAUGAAAAAGAAUGAAGAUUAUGGGUUUUCUAUUACAGUAUCAAAAGCAAAUACUUCAGGUCUGGGGAUUUAGCUCAGUGGUUCCACUGCCUGCCUCACAAGCGCAAGGUCCUGAGUUCAAUCCCCAGUACCAAAAAAAAAAAAAAAACAAAUACUUCAGUCACUAGGGUUCAAGACAAAAAAGAUAAAACAGGAUAGAAGCUUAUUUAAGGAAACAACAAACUUUAAAACUGGAGAAAGAUAUUCAGGCACAGGAAGUUCAGUGUCUCCAAUCAUACUCAAUGCAAAUGCAACUAUCACAUAAAGGAUGGGAAGCAGAAACGAAGCAGAGGGUCCUGAAAGCAGGAAGAAGAGAGAAGAACAACAACCACCACCACAGACUUCUAAGCAGAAACCCUACAGGCUGGAUGACCGCAGGAUAAUACGCUCAGAGUGCUGCAGAAAAAGCACCAACAUGAGCCCAUGACGCGUACGAGAGCCAACAGCUGGCGCAUGCACAGAUUCCAGCCAGAGGCAGUAAGGGUGAGAAGCAAAGGAGACCUUUCAUGCCCAGAAGAAUCCAGUACUUUCCCAUUGCCUGACCCCAAAGAAGUGGAAAUAAACAACCUACCUGAGAAUUCAAAAUAAAUGUUUUAAAGCACCUCAGCACACUCCAAGAAAGCACAAGAAACAAUGCACUGAGCUCAAGAAAACAAUAACUAAAAAGGGAAAUUUAACUGAGUUAGAAUUCAAUUUUUUUAAUUUAAAGCUUAAAAAUCCACCAACAGAAUUGAUCAAGCAGAGAAAAAAAGGAUAUCUGGGAUGCUGAUACUAGGUUAUUUGAAAAUAUACAGUCAGAGGAGAAAAAAGAAAAAUACUGUCAUAUACAGGGCUUAAGAGACAGCAGCAAGAGAACAGGCGUUCACAUUAUGAGAGAAGAAACAGACCGAGACUGCCUAUUUAAAGAAAUAAUAAGCCACCUUUUUUAAUCUGGAGAAAAUAUCUAAAUAUCCAGGUGUGAGAAGCUCACUAAUAUUCAUUCAAACCGAGUAAGGCCACACCCAAAUGUAAUUAAACUGUAAAAAUAAAAGACAAAGACAGGAGCCUGAAAGCAGCAAAAAAAGAAAAUAUAUCAUAUAAAAGGGAAUUUGAGCAAGGAUAACAGCAGAUUUUCCAGCAGACAAGGAACAAGCCAGGACAGAGUGGGACAACACAAAAUGAUGAAGGGAAAACAAUGCCAACCAAAAACGUGAUCCUGUGAAGCUGGCUUUCAGAAAUGCAGGAUUCCCAGACAAUAAAAGACAAGUGUAUUAAUCACCCCAUUACUGUUCUACAACAAAAGGAAUUCUCUCAGCCAAAAGAAGAAGAUUCUACUUAUUAAAACAAAUAUACAUGAAACUCACUGGCAAAAUUUAUCUUCUCAGGCGCCCUUACAGUAUUCGCACAGAGAAGGCCCACGAUGUACACGAUGUCUUACGCCAUUGUAGUGAACAUCAUCAGCUCCUGUAUCGCAGGGCUCGGUCUGCUCCUACUAACAGUUGAGCUUAGUGUGGCUAUCUUUUUAACAGAAACAUCCAUGUGGCAAAUGAGAAGUGCUAAAAUGCUCUCAGAAUAUGUGUUCCUGUUCACCGCUUUGGAGCUGUUUGUGACCUGUGUAGCAAUCCAAUGGGCAUACAAAGCAAAAAAGUCAAACCUAAAUACAUAGUUCAUGGCAGAAGGAAAUCCUUUUCCUACACAUUAAAGAGCCAUCGUGACCUCAGUCAAGAAGGAAAGUUUAGUGGUGAAUAAAGAACUUCUUUUGUUCAAGAGGCUUCCUGGA